rnacentral:ncRNA from 1 species
CAACUUACAAUGAAAGAGCAUAGUAACACUUGGUCCCUGUUCAAUAGAAAGCCUGUGGUUGAUGAAAAUAGGCACAAACCAAUUUGUGAAGUACACUCUGGAGUAACUUGAUUAACCUCAAGCGUAUUACUACGUUAACAGUAAAUGAGUGGCAGCGUGUUUUGCGUUAAAAACAGACUGCAAUUUGGGUGGUAACACGGAAAAUUUCGUCCCGAUA